rnacentral:rRNA from 1 species
GACGAACGCUGGCGGCGUGCUUAACACAUGCAAGUCGAACGGGUCUGCCCUGUUUUUUGCGGGGUGGGUCAGUGGCGAACGGGUGAGUAACACGUGAGUAACCUGCCCCUCACUUCUGGAUAACCGCUUGAAAGGGUGGCUAAUACGGGGUGUUCUGGCUGUGCCGCAUGGUGUGGCUGGGAAAGAUUCACUUUUGUGGUGUUUUGGUGGGGGAUGGGCUCGCGGCCUAUCAGCUUGUUGGUGGGGUGAUGGCCUGCCAAGGCUUUGACGGGUAGCCGGCCUGAGAGGGUGGGCGGUCACACUGGGACUGAGAUACGGCCGAGACUCCUGCGGGAGGCAGCAGUGGGGGGUAUUGCACAAUGGGCGGAAGCCUGAUGCAGCGACGUCGCGGGAGGGAUGGAGGCCUUCGGGUUGUGAACCUCUUUCGCCGGUGAAGAAGGUCCUGCUCUUUGUGGUGGGGUUGACGGUAGCCGGGUUAUGAAGCGCCGGCUAACUACGUG